rnacentral:lncRNA from 1 species
GCAAUUUGGGAGAUGAAGGGAUCUGAGGUAGGUGAGAGGGUGAACAAAAGAAAAGUGAUCGUGUUUGUGAAAAGAUCACAAAAAACCCCAUCAUUGUGAGUGAUAACUAAAAUACAUUAAAAAAUGAAAAAGAACAAGGUUUGCCAGGUCCCGGGGAGGUGGCAUGGAAAGUUGGUGUUUAACUGGUUUGGGGUGAUGGGAAUGUUCUAGAGUUGAUAGUGGUGAUGGUUGAGCAACAGCAUUUAAGCCCACUGAAACUGA